ACACUUUAUCAAUGCUGUUAUUGCCGAGCAUAAUGAAUGGCACGAAUUUGAGAAGCCUCAGGAGCCAAACGAAGGUGACUUGAUACCAAACUUGAUAUCAAAGCCCAGUGUCGAUCGAUACCCUCCCAUCAUUGAUAUCGGGGAAUGUCACGGAAACUUCACAAAAAGACAACAUCGAUCGGCAGCUUCCUGUUAUAAUUCAGCACGCAGCAAAGCCUCGUAUAGCGAUUGGAGAAAGGGUUAAGUCUAGACUGCAGUAUGUACCCAGACAUCUCAGAAGGUCUAUUAGUGCUGCAAAGCUUGCUGGUUUUCCCAAGCGAGUGAAAGAGUUCAUGAAGAUGGAUCUUUUGAUGAUGCUUAUUACAUCGUUUUGGUAUGUUCUUCAGGGAUUGGUAUGUUUUUGGUAUGCUUUUAUUACAUGUAUCGUUUUUGGUAUGUUCUUGAGGUGAUCACUCAGAACCAUGCUUUAAUGCUUUUGCUGAUUCAGAUUGGGCAACAUGCCCAGAAAGUAGAUGUUCUAUCACUUGGUACUGCGUUUAUUGUUGAAACUCUUUGAUCACUUGGAAGUCUAAGAAACAUGACACUACAAGAAAACAUCCUCCAUACCGAUGACAUUUUCCGAGAAAUUUGUUUGUCUGAAAAGUUGAGACGGCUUUGUGAGCAUUUUCCGAGAACACAAGAAAUUUGUCGGAAUGCUUACAGAAUUUUCCGAUGAAUCAUUUUUCUUGGUAUUUUCUCGGAAACUAUUGUUGGUAUCUUGUCGGAAAUACAAAUUUUUCCGAGGGAUGAGUUUUGUCGGAAGAUCCUCAGGUGUUUUUAUCAGUAAUUUAUCGGAACAAUUAAUUUUCCGACGAUUGAUUCUCUUCUCAAUACAUCAUCGGAAAAAACAGACAGAAAAUUGUCGGAGUAUUCCGAUGAAAUACCGACAAUUGUGUUACCGAUGAGAUACCGACAAUCCGACGAUUGAUUCUCUUCUCAAUACAUCAUCGGAAAAAACAGACAGAAAAUUGUCGGAGUAUUCCGAUGAAAUACCGACAAUUGUGUUACCGAUGAGAUACCGACAAUGGUUUCUCGCCAAUUUCUCGAAAAUUAUAACUUUAUAUCUAUGGGGUAUGAUUUCUUCUUUUCCUCAUUCCCAUCAUCUCAUUUCUCCUUUACCUUCGACUGUCUGCAACUCAUGGGCAAUGGUGGUGAUGAUUGGCGGUGAUGAAACAAUGGAGAACCUCUCCACGUUUCUUCUCUUCCAAGCAACAACAAAGCUGAUGAUGAAUUGAUGACGGUUUGGAAUGACGUGGAGGCGGCGAGUUGAGGGAGGCCCUGUUUUCUCUGCAUUGCCGGGGGCUUGGUUACCGGAGCGAAAACAUGAACUAAGUGCUCUGAUGGCUUGACGGUGGGUGAAGGCUCCGAAACAGAUACGUCGGUGUUCUGGUUUUGUCUUGCCGGAGACUCUGAAACUGCUUCUAUCUGCCGGUUUGUGAUUAGUUUUGUAACAUUUUUCUUUUCCGGUGAGAUUUUUGGGUCGGCUCCUAAUUGUACGGUGGUUCUCAUGUCUCUUUAUGUAAAUUAUUUUUUAAUAAAGAGGAUCUACACAUGUAUGUUAUUCAUGAAGCUUUUUCUUA